GACAAGAAAUAACAAUACGGGGCUUAAUGUCUUGUAAUUGGAAUGAUGGGAAUUUAAACCUCUUCCAGAGUAUCAAUUGGAGGGCAAGUCUGGUGCCAGCAGCCGCGGUAAUUCCAGCUCCAAUAGCGUAUAUUAAAAUUGUUGCAGUUAAAAAGCUCGUAGUUGAAUUUCUGCUGCAUUGCAUUUGCUCCUUGACGAGUGUCUGUAUUGCGGCUUAUUUCGGAUUAUGCUUGCAUUUUCCGGAUGUUUACUUUGAGAAAAUUAGAGUGCUCAAAGAGGCUUUUGCCUUGAAUAGUUUAGCAUGGAAUAAUAAAGUAGGACUUUGGUUCUAUUUUGUUGGUUUUAGGUACCAAAGUAAUGGUUAAUAGGAACAGUUGGGGGCAUUCGUAUUUAACUGUCAGAGGUGAAAUUCUUAG
rnacentral:rRNA from 1 species